ensembl:ncRNA K07E12.6 ncRNA
AUUGCUUGCUCGCCGAGUUAGUUUGAAAGAUGAAGAUAUUUAUUUUUGAUCUACUAGUUCUUCUUCCUGUCAGAUAGGGGACGUUCCCUCCUGGUUCUUCCUUGACGAUGGUCGGCUGGCAAAACAAUCCGUCAAAAAACAAAACAUGAAGAGCCGGGACUGGGAGGGGUCCCGCCGGCUAACAAACAACAACACUUGUUUCGUUACCUCUACCCUCUCGCAGUUUGCAUCUUUAACUU